rnacentral:rRNA from 1 species
GGCGACCGGCGCACGGGUGCGUAACGCGUAUGCAACCUACCUUAUACAGGGGGAUAGCCCAGAGAAAUUUGGAUUAAUACCCCAUAGUAUCAUCAGAUGGCAUCUGAAGAUGAUUAAAGAUUUAUUGGUAUAAGAUGGGCAUGCGUUAGAUUAGCUAGUUGGUGAGGUAACGGCUCACCAAGGCGACGAUCUAUAGGGGACCUGAGAGGGUGAUCCCCCACACUGGUACUGAGAUACGGACCAGACUCCUACGGGAGGCAGCAGUAGGGAAUAUUGGUCAAUGGAGGAGACUCUGAACCAGCCAUGCCGCGUGCAGGAAGACGGCCUUCUGGGUUGUAAACUGCUUUUGACAGGGAAGAAAACGUCCAUGCGUGGAUAACUGACGGUACCUGUAGAAUAAGCACCGGCUAACUCCGUGCCAGCAGCCGCGGUAAUACGGAGGGUGCAAGCGUUGUCCGGAUUUAUUGGGUUUAAAGGGUGCGUAGGCUGUAGAUUAAGUCAGAGGUGAAAUCCAACAGCUCAACUGUUGAACUGCCUUUGAUACUGGUUUACUUGAGUAUAGAUGAGGUAGGCGGAAUUUAUGGUGUAGCGGUGAAAUGCAUAGAUACCAUAAGGAACACCGAUAGCGAAGGCAGCUUACUAAACUAUAACUGACGCUGAGGCACGAAAGCAUGGGGAUCGAACAGGAUUAGAUACCCUGGUAGUCCAUGCUGUAAACGAUGAUUACUCGAUGUAUGCGAUAUACAGUAUGCGUCCAAGCGAAAGCGUUAAGUAAUCCACCUGGGGAGUACGCCCCGCAAGGGUGAAACUCAAAGGAAUUGACGGGGGUCCGCACAGGCGGUGGAGCAUGUGGUUUAAUUCG